AAGCCAGGCCGCGUCCGCCAUAGUACCUGGCUUGGAGGUGUCGCCGCCGCUCGGUGAGAGCCCCCGAGCGGCAGGGGGCCAACACAAAAAGGGAGCCGGAGAAGCCCUAGCCGCUGCCCAGCAGCUUGCGGGCGUGUUCUCGCGGUUCCGGGCCUCAAGGCGACGGAAACGAAAGGCGAGCGAAGCGCGGAGGAUCCGGCGAGAAGAAGCGUCAGGGAGCCUCGGCGGUGUCCCCGGGGUCCGCCGAAGCCACCCGGCCGCCGGCUGGGGCCCGGGGUGGUGAGGAAGUGCUCCGAGGCCUCGCCGAGGCCUAGCGCCGGCUUUGUGUCCGAGGCGGCGGCGGCGGCGGGGGGAGGCGGAGCCGGGGGCGGCCUGCGGGAAGGCCUCUCCUCCGCCGACCGCGCGUUUUCGGCCUAGGCCCUCUCCCCUCAACCUUCUCCCGGGGCCUGGGUCACCCCAAUCCACGGAGAGAGAGACCCGCCGGGAGGUGCGGCCGCGCUAUGGACCCCUGACCCCGUGGGGUCGCUCGGACUCUUAACGUGUGGACUGACCGCUA
rnacentral:lncRNA from 1 species